rnacentral:tRNA from 1 species
AUGGGGAUUUGUAAUAAAACAGCUGCUAACUAGUUUUAAAAGCGGUUAAAUUCCGUUUUCCCCUUG